UACGUAGGGUGCAAGCGUUAUCCGGAAUUAUUGGGCGUAAAGAGCUCGUAGGCGGUUUGUCGCGUCUGCUGUGAAAACUGGAGGCUCAACCUCCAGCCUGCAGUGGGUACGGGCAGACUAGAGUGCGGUAGGGGAGAUUGGAAUUCCUGGUGUAGCGGUGGAAUGCGCAGAUAUCAGGAGGAACACCGGAUGGCGAAGGCAGAUCUCUGGGCCGUAACUGACGCUGAGGAGCGAAAGCAUGGGGAGCGAACAGG
rnacentral:rRNA from 1 species